GAGUUUGAUCCUGGCUCAGAUUGAACGCUGGCGGCAGGCCUAACACAUGCAAGUCGAGCGGAAACGAUCCUAGCUUGCUAGGAGGCGUCGAGCGGCGGACGGGUGAGUAACACGUGAGAAUCUGCCCAUUAGUGGGGGAUAACCUGGGGAAACCCAGGCUAAUACCGCAUAAUCCCUACGGGGGAAAGCAGGGGACCUUCGGGCCUUGUGCUGAUGGAUGAGCUCGCGUCGGAUUAGCUUGUUGGUGAGGUAAUGGCUCACCAAGGCGACGAUCCGUAGCUGGUCUUAGAGGAUGAUCAGCCACACCGGGACUGAGACACGGCCCGGACUCCUACGGGAGGCAGCAGUGGGGAAUCUUGGACAAUGGGGGCAACCCUGAUCCAGCCAUGCCGCGUGUGUGAAGAAGGCCUUCGGGUUGUAAAGCACUUUCAGUAGGGAGGAAGGCUUAUCCUUAAUACGGAUGAGUACUUGACGUUACCUACAGAAGAAGCACCGGCUAAUUUCGUGCCAGCAGCCGCGGUAAUACGAAAGGUGCAAGCGUUAAUCGGAAUUACUGGGCGUAAAGCGCGCGUAGGCGGUUUGCUAAGUCAGAUGUGAAAGCCCCGGGCUCAACCUGGGAACUGCAUUUGAAACUGGCAGGCUAGAAUGCAGUAGAGGGAGGUGGAAUUUCCGGUGUAGCGGUGAAAUGCGUAGAGAUCGGAAGGAACACCAGUGGCGAAGGCGGCCUCCUGGACUGACAUUGACGCUGAGUGCGAAAGCGUGGGGAGCAAACAGGAUUAGAUACCCUGGUAG
rnacentral:rRNA from 1 species